UUCUAUUAGAAAAUAUUUAAUAGUAAAGUCUGCUCAAUGAUUAUUUAAAUAGCCGCAAUUUGUGCUAAGGUAGCAUAAUCACUUGUCUUUUAAAUGAAGACUAGAACAAAAGAUUUAACAUUUUAGCUUAUUUACCCAAUUUAAAAAUUAAAUCUCUCCUAAAUGUAAAAAGACGUUUAUAACUUAGAAAGACGAUAAGACCCUAUUGAACUUAACUGUAGUUAAACUGGGGCAGUAAAUUAAUUAUUAUUUUAAUAAAAACAUAAACAUUAUUAUCUAAUAAAAUUAAAUAAUUAAGUUACCAUAGGGAUAACAGCGUAAUAGAAUUUUAAAGACCUUAUUCCAAAAUCAAUUUACGACCUCGAUGUUGAAUUAAUAUGCUAAUUAAGGCAAGACUUAAAAAAGCAAGUCUGUUCGACUUUUAAAAAAUUACAUGAUUUGAGUUCAGACCGGCGUAAGCCAGGUCGGUUUCUAUCUUCUAAAUAAUUUUUUACAGUACGAAAGGRCCUAAAAAUUUAAUU
rnacentral:rRNA from 1 species